rnacentral:rRNA from 1 species
GAACUCCGAUUGCGAAGGCAGCGUACCGGCGCCACACUGACGCUGAGGCACGAAAGCGUGGGGAUCGAACAGGAUUAGAUACCCUGGUAGUCCACGCAGUAAACGAUGAAUGCUGGUUGUCCGGGUCGAAUGAGAUCUGGGCGACGAAGCGAAAGCGAUAAGCAUUCCACCUGGGGAGUACGCCGGCAACGGUGAAACUCAAAGGAAUUGACGGGGGCCCGCACAAGCGGAGGAACAUGUGGUUUAAUUCGAUGAUACGCGAGGAACCUUACCCGGGCUCAAACGGGAGCGGAAUGGACCAGAGACGGUUCAGCCUACGGGCCGCUUCCGAGGUGCUGCAUGGUUGUCGUCAGCUCGUGCCGUGAGGUGUCGGCUUAAGUGCCAUAACGAGCGCAACCCCCGCCGGCAGUUGCUAACGGGCAAUGCCGAGGACUCUGCCGGGACUGCCGCCGCAAGGCGAGAGGAAGGCGGGGAUGACGUCAAAUCAGCACGGCCCUUACGUCCGGGGCGACACACGUGUUACAAUGGGCGGUACAGCGGGAAGCCAGGCGGCGACGCCGAGCGGAACCCGAAAGCCGUUCUCAGUUCGGAUCGGAGUCUGCAACCCGACUCCGUGAAGCUGGAUUCGCUAGUAAUCGCGCAUCAGCCAUGGCGCGGUGAAUACGUUCCCGGGCCUUGUACACACCGCCCGUCAAGCCAUGGGAGCCGGGGGUGCUUGAAGUGCGUCGCCGCGAGGCGCGCCCUAGAGCAAAACCGGUGACUGGGGCUAAGUCGUAACAAGGUAACCGUAA